UACAGAGGUCUCAAGCGUUUGUUCGGAUUCAUUGGGCGUAAAGGGUGCGUAGGUGGCGCUGUAAGUCGGGUGUGAAAUUUCGGAGCUUAACUCCGAAACUGCAUUCGAUACUGCGGUGCUUGAGGACUGGAGAGGAGACUGGAAUUCAUGGUGUAGCAGUGAAAUGCGUAGAGAUCAUGAGGAAGACCAGUGGCGAAGGCGGGUCUCUGGACAGUUCCUGGACACUGAGGCACGAAGGCCAGGGGAGCAAACGGG
rnacentral:rRNA from 1 species